UUUUAUUGCCGUUCCAAUUGGGAAUGGAUAGACUAUAAUUAUGAUUUAUUCAAAAUUACAAUGUUUAAUAUCUAUUUGGGAUAUUGCAACACAAUCUGUGUUGAAACCAUUAAGAUCAUUUCAAAAUGAAACUCUAAAACGUAUUUAUAAAAUACUCUUUUCAGAGCCUAGAACCUGAGUAAGUUUGGAAUGCAAUCAUUAAAUUCAUAAUAGAAAUAUAUUACACAUCUAUUGAUGAUGAAUGAUAAAUGAUUAAAUUAUCAGACCCAA